GCUUUUGCUGAGAACUAAUUUAUUCAAAAAUUUCCAACCUUAUAAAUUUUAUUAAAAAAAAAAAAAUAAUAAUAAGACAACUUUCAACAACGGAUCUCUUGGCUCUUGCAUCGAUGAAGAACGCAGCGAAAUGCGAUAAGUAAUGUGAAUUGCAGAAUUCCGUGAAUCAUCAAAUCUUUGAACGCAAAUUGCACUCUUUGGUAUUCCGAAGAGUAUGCUUGCUUGAGGGUUGUUCUAUCAAAUUCGUAUUUUUUAUACGGAUCUGAGUUUUCCAAAGUUUUUAAAAUUUUGGUAACUUGAAAUUUAUCUUAAUGAUAUUAUAAUAUUAGAAAUAUUUUAUCUUACAUAUUUGUGUAAGUUUUUUUAUUGAUAAUCGUGUUAUAAUUAAUCAUGAUAUCAUAUUAUUUAACUAAUUUUCAUAAUUAGAUUAAGUAAUAUAAUUUUUUUUUCUUCAACCUCAAGUCAAGUAAGAUUACCCGCUGAACUUAAGCAUAUCAAUAAGCGGAGGAAAAGAAACUAACCAGGAUUCCCUUAGUAACGGCGAGUGAAGUGGGAAGAGCUCAAAUUUUAGAUCACUAAGGUUUCACUUUAGUGAGUUGUAAUUUGAAGAAAGUGUUUUGAUAUUCGGGUUUGA
rnacentral:rRNA from 1 species